UGUAGGUUGUGUCUAUAGAGUGAUUAUCAUACUGGAUUUGAUUUUGGAAACUGAUCGGAAAAUGGACCGGCUAGAACUUGAUCUUAAAUGGUUCCAGGAAUUCCGGAGGGCUAUCCUCGAGGUUCCAAGGGAGAGUGCUCGUAGGAAAAUUAGGAAAUGUAUUGGAGACACUCUCAACCUCGCAGAGCUCGGCAUACCAAACAUCAGGCGCAUGGAACACUCCUAUCCGAUUUCCUAGCAUAUCUUCGAGAUCGUAACAUGCUGAUCCUAUUUUUCCGACUACUUUUUCUAGAGAGAAGGGGUCUGCUAGCUUUGCUGAGAAAUUCUUUGCUUUGCUUGACUGGAAGAAAUUCUUCUUUAAAACCGUUUCACCCACGGUAUAAGAUGGUGAACUUUUAUUUGACCGUAAUUUGUAAUGUUUCGCAUAUUUUGAAUAUGCUUUUUGUAAGUUUUCCUUAAUUUUAA